ACUGCUCAGUAACACGUGGAUAACCUGCCCUUAGGUUUGGCAUAACUCCGGGAAACUGGAGAUAAUUCCGAAUAGGUCAAAUAUGCUGGAAUGCUUUUUGGCCAAAAGACCUCGGUUGCCUAAGGAUGGAUCUGCGGUCUAUCAGGUAGUAGUGGGUGUAACGUACCUACUAGCCUACGACGGAUAUGGGUUGUGAGAGCAAGAGCCCAGAGAUGGAUUCUGAGACAUGAAUCCAGGCCCUACGGGGCGCAGCAGGCGCGAAAACUUUACAAUGCGGGAAACCGCGAUAAGGGGACACCGAGUGCCAGCAUUUAUGUUGGCUGUCCACAUGUGUAAACGGCAUGUGUUAGCAAGGGCCGGGCAAGACCGGUGCCAGCCGCCGCGGUAACACCGGCGGCCCGAGUGGUAAUCACUUUUAUUGGGUCUAAAGGGUCCGUAGCCGGUUUGAUCAGUUCUUCGGGAAAUCAGACAGCUCAACUGUUAGGCUUCCGGGGAAUACUGUCAGACUUGGGACCGGGAGAGGUAAGAGGUACUACAGGGGUAGGAGUGAAAUCUUGUAAUCCCUGUGGGACCACCAGUGGCGAAGGCGUCUUACCAGAACGGGUCCGACGGUGAGGGACGAAAGCUGGGGGCACGAACCGGAUUAGAUACCCGGGUAGUCCCAGCCGUAAACGAUGUUCGCUAGGUGUCAGGGGCGGUGCGACCGCUUCUGGUGCCGUAGGGAAGCCGUGAAGCGAACCACCUGGGAAGUACGGCCGCAAGGCUGAAACUUAAAGGAAUUGGCGGGGGAGCACUACAACGGGUGGAGCCUGCGGUUUAAUUGGAUUCAACGCCGGG
rnacentral:rRNA from 1 species